rnacentral:sRNA from 1 species
UGCAUCUGAAACCUGACGAGGAUGAGAACCUCCGGGGGCAGGAGGUUCGACUCGAGCGCAGCGAGAGAACGUUGCGUCAGCAACGGCCCGCAGGGCGAGCCACGCAGUGGCGAGUCAUCCUCUAUCACCGACCA